GCUGAACACUCUUCUGAAUGAACCUGAGAAACAUUUUUUUCUACCCAAGUCCUCCAACUUCACGAGCUCUUCAAACCAGAUUGAUGGCAGGAUGGAAUACACCUUCCAGGAUGGAGAUGACAUACAACCAGUCAGCUUCCUAAAUGAGCUUCGUUCACAGAUGGAACUGACCACUACAACAGUGUCUCCAGACACAAUAACCAGUUUCCCCUCAACUUCUCCAAGCCCAAU